rnacentral:sRNA from 12 species
CAUGAUUGGGAAAACCAGGAUUGUUUAGAGGGUAGAUGCAGUCGCCCCAACUCCGACAAAUACAUGCGAAUUUACUUUCAAUGUAUUGGUAAGGCGAGAAACAACUAUUUGGUUGGAAACUUUAAUCUUGCUAAGAAAUUAAAGAACUGC